AGAAGCUGUAUCGGAGCUUCGGAAGUGCACGAAAGCUCUAAAUUGGUGUCUUGUUGUAUCUCACUAUCUUGCUUAUUUAGAAUCUACGGGAUAUACACGUAAAAUUGGAUGUUAGACUCUGAUGUCUCGGUGAAACGGAAACGGACUGGCAAACAUCGCAUUGCCAUUAACACAACUAAAAAUGGUCAAGGAGGCUGAAGAAGGGGGUUGAAUUCAUCAUCAACUAGAAAGGGUUUACUGGCAAGCAAUUUUUUUUGAUUCACAGAAUGUAAGACUCAGAAUAUCAUCUGAUAGAGGGUCUAGCAUCCAUUUUGCACUCUUCUGUGAUAAAUAUGCAGGAGAGCGAUUUUAGAACUUAUGCAGGAUUGUCAAAGGUCCUGAGUCUGAGGCAUACUGUGAAGAUUUAAUUACUGAAGCGGAAAACAAUGCCGAUUGAGCGAAACUUUAACGAACGUAGGAUCCAUCAUCUCGGACUCGGGGCAAUGACUUCACAUCUUCAUACGAUGGUAGUGGGGAGAGAAAGGAGGAACGGUAAGGAGGAGAAUCGGAUGAAAAGGAAGGCGGAAGAGGGCAAGGUAA
rnacentral:lncRNA from 1 species